AGUGAACGCUGGCGGUAGGCCUAACACAUGCAAGUCGAACGGCAGCACAGUAAGAGCUUGCUCUUACGGGUGGCGAGUGGCGGACGGGUGAGGAAUACAUCGGAAUCUACUUUUUCGUGGGGGAUAACGUAGGGAAACUUACGCUAGUACCGCAUACGACCUACGGGUGAAAGCAGGGGAUCUUCGGACCUUGCGCGAUUGAAUGAGCCGAUGUCGGAUUAGCUAGUUGGCGGGGUAAAGGCCCACCAAGGCGACGAUCCGUAGCUGGUCUGAGAGGAUGAUCAGCCACACUGGAACUGAGACACGGUCCAGACUCCUACGGGAGGCAGCAGUGGGGAAUAUUGGACAAUGGGCGCAAGCCUGAUCCAGCCAUACCGCGUGGGUGAAGAAGGCCUUCGGGUUGUAAAGCCCUUUUGUUGGGAAAGAAAAGCAGCAGGUUAAUACCCCGCUGUUCUGACGGUACCCAAAGAAUAAGCACCGGCUAACUUCGU
rnacentral:rRNA from 1 species